rnacentral:rRNA from 1 species
CAGUCGCCGCGGUAAUACAGAGGGUGCGAGCGUUAAUCGGAUUUACUGGGCGUAAAGCGUGCGUAGGCGGCUUCUUAAGUCGGAUGUGAAAUCCCUGAGCUUAACUUAGGAAUUGCAUUUGAUACUGGGAAGCUAGAGUAUGGGAGAGGAUGGUAGAAUUCCAGGUGUAGCGGUGAAAUGCGUAGAGAUCUGGAGGAAUACCGAUGGCGAAGGCAGCCAUCUGGCCUAAUACUGACGCUGAGGUACGAAAGCAUGGGGAGCAAACAGGAUUAGAUACCCGUGUAGUCCCUGUCUCUUAUAC